rnacentral:lncRNA from 1 species
CUUUCUUUGCUACACAGCGUCCUCCGUGGCGAGCUGGAGGGAAGCGCUCUCAGCAGAGAGGGUCGCCCUCACCAAGAAGCCAAAGGGAAGAGGACAGAAUCUAUCUUGUAGGGACGCCCUUGGUCUUCAGAAGGAACACUUUUUCUGUUUCACAGAGAUCUGUGGAAUGUGUGGGUUCCCUGAAGAGGUGGACGGACCCCCGGGGUCGCGCGUUUUCUCAGCCCUGGGCCCGUAGCGGAGCUCGAUCCUUCCAGAGCUCAGGGCCAGAAAUGUUGCGAUUCCGAACACUUUGCCUUUCUUCUGAGAGGAGCCGCCCGGCAGACGCUCAUCAUUAAGAAGCAACGUAAUUAACAACGAAUGUUUCCCCUUGGCGCUAAUGCGAACACCCUGGGGAACUGCCAAGUCUGAUGCUUGCUGAAUGGCUGACUUCUCUGAAAGGGAAAACAGCAGAAUCUGAGAGGGGAGAGUGGAGCGGAGUUCUUCCUCCCCUGUGCUAACAGCCUGUAUCCUGACCAUCCUUGCCCCCGACUCCUCUCCCAGCAGCUGAGUGGCUUUUUGGACUGGGUUCUUUUUCCGAACUGCCAGCACCAACUUCCGUGCGUCUUACCUGUGCUUCAGCCGAAGUUUAACCCCUCCUGACCACGCUGCUUUCCUGUGCUGGGGGCCAGAGGUGAGGUGUUCUGGGCUGACGAAGUUAGAGGCACCAGUAUCUGCAUGGCCUGGGUCUGUGCACACAUCUCUGUCAACAAUAGGAAAAGAAGAAGCUGAGCAUGAUGGUGUUCAUGGACAGGAGCACAAAUGAAUCUUAAAAACCGAAAAAGCACAUGAAAACGAACCCCGGAGCCAGAGCAAAGCAGCACAGCUAAGUGCAGGGUUCUAAGCCUGCACCUAACAAAGUUCUCUGCCCUACGAAGGCGAAUCCACUACUGAGUGUCGUGUCUUCCUUUUUUAUCCAUGUUCCUCUGAAGCAAUAAAGCAUUAUUUCCCAA